rnacentral:snRNA from 1 species
AACCUUGCUCAGUGGCAAUAUCGUAACCAAUGAAGGCCUCCUGAGGUGCGAUUAUUGCUAGUUGGAAACUUUAAAGAUAAAUAAAUAAUCGUAUUCUUGAUUCUACGAAUUGUAACUUCAAAUUAACAGCAAAACCAUCUG